rnacentral:misc_RNA from 1 species
AAUCUAUGCAACCGUGGAUCGAGCUCAACGCUUCGAUUUCAAAAUUAUUGUUCAUUGACACCAAAAAUUAUUAUGAACUGGUUUGAUAAGCUUCGUUCUUCUUCCAAUCUCAGCCGCUUCAUUGCCGGCCUUCUAAUCUUUAUUCUCUACCAUUCUUUCCAGUUAAUUUCUAAUUUCUUGAUUCCUAUACACCCUUAAUU